AGGGAUGAGCCAAGGUCAGCAUGUGUAAGAGCUUUCUUUCAUCCUAAGAGGCCAGAAGGGUCCAGUGCCAUCAUCAACUGCACUUAUGUAGACAGUGCCUCUCUCUGCUUCCCUUGCUAUAAGCAAGAACCUGGAAAGCAUCCUAAGCUCUCCAUUGGCAUUUGUUCAGCUAUGGAAAGAAAAGAGACCCUGAGAAUUCUACUGGACAAGAAA